AAUCAUGUGGACCCCAGUGUAACAAAUCUAUGGAAAGAGAGAAAAUCUCAGCUCAAGGGUCAACAUGUCUUUAUUCCAUGAAAGAGUGUACAUAUGCCAGAAUCAUAUGGACCGCAGACUGGCCCUGGUGAUUCCGUUAAGAAAAAAGAGGAAAAAUCAGUGCUUGUGCUCAUUGGUCAUUGGACAAAGGGUGUAUGCCAGAAUUUUUUCAAGAACAGUCUGAAUCUGACAUGGAAAAAAUGAAGAAAAACAGCCUUCCUGUUUAUAAAUCUACAUUCUGACAAAGGAUCAUUUUCUUGAGAUAGGUGGAACCAACAGUCAAAUACAGACACUUUUAAGAAAAGUAAAAGUCUGGCUCAGGUAAGAAAGAAAUUCAUGAGUUCUUAAAUUGCCCUUGGAGUUCUUGGAUUGCAUCAAACUGCUAAAAGACCUCAACAAAAACAGUGUCUUGAAAAUAAAAAUGAAAAUAUUCAGUGAAAAAAAAAAAUGAUGAAAGAGCCACUAAAAAUCUUCAAGCCUUUGAGCUGAAAUCUGGAAGUCAAUCUGUGGACUUUACUCGUAUGUCAUAAUUACCAAGUCAUCAUUUGUAUAUAAUAAAUACACUAAACUGUAAACACUUGUUAAAAUGUGUAUAAUUUUUAGAUAUAAUUUGUAGCUCACAGACUUCAAUAGUUUCAUGUAAUUUAAGUAAUAAUGAAAAUUUCCUGUUGUCUAGCUAGAUUAGAAACUAUUAUUGUCCAAUUUUGGAUAUUGUGAAAUAAUUCAUCUAGUAUGCA